UCGAGCUCCAGCUCUCCAACAAUGGCGACCUCCGCAGCGCCCAUAUCGCUCUCCUUUUUCACCUCCUCAAUCUUCCUCCCCUCCUCGUCCCACAAACCCUUCUCAGUCCUCGCACCCACCAAUUCUCUCAAAACUCCCAAACCCCUCAUCGUCUCCGCUGAGCUCGCCACCCUCCCAGUCCUCUCCUUCACCGGAGAUAAGGUCGGCGAGACCUUCCUCGACCUCAAGUCCGCGCUACCGGAUACCGCUCGUGCCGUCGUCCACCGCGCCAUCAUCACUGAUCUCCAGAACAAGCGCCGCGGCACAGCAUCCACCCUCA
rnacentral:lncRNA from 1 species